UUGCUAGAGGUGAAAUUCUUGGAUUUACUCAAGACUAACUACUGCGAAAGCAUUUGCCAAGGAUGUUUUCAUUAAUCAAGAACGAAGGUUAGGGGAUCGAAAACGAUCAGAUACCGUUGUAGUCUUAACAGUAAACUAUGCCGACUAGGGAUCGGGCGAUCUCACUUUUAUGUGUCGC
rnacentral:rRNA from 1 species